rnacentral:siRNA from 1 species
UGAACGAAUUCAGACUGUGAA